rnacentral:lncRNA from 1 species
CACAGACACACACAGACAGACACACACAGACACACACAGACAGACACACAGACACACAGACACACAGACACAGACACACAGACACACACACACAGACACACAGACACAGAGAUUCCUUGCUUUAGAUAGAUGAUGAAAUUAAUUCCAUAACAGUUUUCUAAACAAAGGGGGAGGGACUUAGAUUAAGAAAUAAUAUAAGGUGGUACUGGAGCCUAAAAGCUUUGAGAACCUCUGGUGUAGAUAAUGAGCUGGUCUGGACAGAUGAGACCUGUAUGAGUCAGUGGUGAGGAACCUGAACACACCACAGAGAUGAAAUACAGGAGAGUUGGUUGAUGAGUUCCUCCUCCCACAGAUACCAACCUGGGCCCCUCCCUCGUCCUGAACGCAGUUAUUCUACAGAGCACUCAGUGUCUGACUGACAGUGUCAGUGCUCUACUACAGACAGCAGACGCAAGAUGAGGAUAAUGGGUCUACCCCAAGGCGUUGUAGAGGAGCUUGGUUUGGAUUCACCAAACGGCCUUGUCUUCAUCGCUGCCUUACUCAUUGUUGGCAUCAUUCUGGUCGCCCUCUGCAUGGGACACAAGAGGAGCACGACUAAUGCCUAUGACGUGAGCGGAUCAAAGACUGACGAGGGAGCCAAUGGGAGCAAUGCUACAAAGACUGCGGGAACAUCCAACACUGAUUAUUCGUGGAGGAGCCACAAUGAGAUGCCUCCGAAUUCCCUGAACAGGCCCAAAGCACAAACCCAUUGAACGGCCACGCCCCCUCAACAUUUAAUAAAAAACAAUAAAACCCAGGCUUCA